ensembl:lncRNA
GAAGAAACAAAGGAGGCGGGGAACGGCGAAGGGGUGCGGCCGAAGGCCCCGCCCUCUCCUGCGUUGGGUAGUUUCUGGGAGUGCGCUGCGAACGCUGGGUCUUGGAGGUGGUGGCCUCCGCGGCGCUUGUGACUGUUGCUGUUGUCACUGUCAUUCUUGCUGCUGCCAGCCUUUGCGCGGGCACCUGAAAGAAGCCCUGGGGAAAACUGUUUCUCAGAAAGUGAACAGAAUCUCCCCUGGACCUCCGUCGUCUCAUUGAUGAGACAAAUCCUGAUCCAGGAAAACUUCCGCCUUUUUCUGAUGGUGAAUUUCAUCCAAGCCUUCCAUUGACCUUUCUUCAGUAACUUCAUGGUGAUCUUCGCAGAUAAUCUUGUUCCCGAGGGUGUUCUUCCUUCUUCCAUAAGGAGCAUCGAAGACAGGGCAGGCUGUAUAUGCCCACAGUUAUGUGAUGAUUCUUCGUGUAUCUUCCUACAAGGAUUAAAGAUUUAACUCUUACCUGGCUGAGGAAAUUAAAAACCUGAUUGUAUCAGUAGUUUGAAAAAAUGACACGCAUUUAUUAAGAAAUCCAAAGAUUCAUAGCCUCAGACAUUAUACAAGAUUCAGUAGAAACAUAAUGGAUACAAGAGAUGAAAGGAAAAAGAGGAAGGAGAGGCCAAUGAGGGCUGAACGAUGUGAUAAUUAAACAUUUUAGCUUUUGAAUUUUGUCCCCCUGAGCUUUCUCAUUUAAGCCUCAGCAGAGCUGUGGAAGAAAAUAAAUGACUUCCUGUGAGCAUGUGGUUUUGCUUUACCUGGGUGUUUAAGAUUCCUGUGACUGUUACAAGGAAGAAGAGUGGCUUGAUCAAGAAUUCGUGAAGCCAGAUUUCAAAACGCUUGGCUGAACGACUGAGUCCUGGAAUUCCAGAGCAUUGUUAAAAUUCCAUGGUCAUGACCAUUACUGUAGAGAGCAUGUCCUCCUUCAAAAAAUGUAUCGGCCUGCUGUUUAUUGCACCAUUUGGAGAUUUUUUUUUUUUUUUAAGAUUUUAUUUUUUCCUUUUUCUCCCCAAAGCCCCCCGGUACAUAGUUGUGUAUUCUUCGUUGUGGGUUCUUCUAGUUGUGGCAUGUGGGACGCUGCCUCAGCGUGGUCUGAAGAGCAGUGCCAUGUCCGCGCCCAGGAUUCGAACCAACGAAACACUGGGCCGCCUGCAGCGGAGCGCGCGAACUUAACCACUCGGCCAC